rnacentral:rRNA from 1 species
CCUACGGGUGGCAGCAGUGGGGAAUAUUGGACAAUGGGGGGAACCCUGAUCCAGCCAUGCCGCGUGUGUGAAGAAGGCCCUCGGGUUGUAAAGCACUUUCAGUGAGGAAGAACGCCUGGUGGUUAAUACCCAUCAGGAAAGACAUCACUCACAGAAGAAGCACCGGCUAACUCCGUGCCAGCAGCCGCGGUAAUACGGAGGGUGCGAGCGUUAAUCGGAAUUACUGGGCGUAAAGCGCGCGUAGGUGGCUUGAUAAGCCGGUUGUGAAAGCCCCGGGCUCAACCUGGGAACGGCAUCCGGAACUGUCAAGCUAGAGUGCAGGAGAGGAAGGUAGAAUUCCCGGUGUAGCGGUGAAAUGCGUAGAGAUCGGGAGGAAUACCAGUGGCGAAGGCGACCUUCUGGACUGACACUGACACUGAGGUGCGAAAGCGUGGGUAGCAAACAGGAUUAGAUACCCUGGUAGUC